GGCAAGAUGGCCGAGCGGUCUAAGGCGAUGCUUUCAAGUUUUUCUUGACAAUGUAAACAUUGUUUGAAACAGCAUUAACGAAAGUUGCAUGGGUUCGAAUCCCAUUCUUGUCA